rnacentral:misc_RNA from 1 species
GAUGAAGAACGCAGCGAAAUGCGAUAAGUAGUGUGAAUUGCAGAAUUCAGUGAAUCAUCGAAUCUUUGAACGCACAUUGCGCUCUCUGGUAUUCCGGAGAGCAUGCCCGUUUCAGAAUCAGUGACAAUUCUCGCCGCUUCUUGGCUUUCAAAAGAAGGCUCGGAAGAGGUGGAUUUUGGAUGUGCUGUCUCUUCCCUCCUGGAAAGAGACUCGUCCGAAACUCAUGGUAAAUGCCGGGGUACCGCUCUGAGGAACCUUGCAAAGUAGCAACAAAAGCCUUCACCGGUUUGGAAUUUUCUCUUUGCAGAUGUCCUUUGCUUGCGAUAUCCACUGUGCUUUCCGACCCGCCUUUCAGCUUCUCGGCUUGGGCAAUUGGCUUUUGCCAAAAACUUGGUCUGAAAUCGGGCAAGAAAACCCGCUGAACUUAAGCAUAUCAAUAAGCGGAGGA